rnacentral:tRNA from 1 species
GUGGGGGUAGCAAAGUCUGGUCAAAUGCGCAGGACUUAAGAUCCUGUCCCUUAUGGGUUCGAGGGUUCGAAUCCCUCCCCCCACA